CGGAGGCCCACACUCACACUCCAGAUAAGGUAUAUUGUUGGGCCAUGUUUGGCCGAUUCCCAUCGGUUUAGCCCAAUACUUACCCUGCUGGUAGUGAUACAUUUUACGGCUACGCCUUGCUGGAAUUCACACGAACUACUGAAAACCGGUGGCCGGGUCACUAACCAACUCUGGGACCAACCCGAAAAUUAAAACACCGCCCCCAAAACGGAGAUAACAAGCAAAGAAACGAUAAAGUGGUAAGGUAAUGAAAAGAUAAUGCCGGAAAAAGUAAUCCAAACAACCGGCGACGUUGCUCUCCAACUUUAGACUAAAACUGCAUCUGGCGGUUAGUGGCUGAACUGGAUGAACCGCUGCAGGAAGCCCCACAAUGCCCAAGCUCUGUGGUGGCUUUAAUAAAUAGAUGCACUUUAUUGUUGACUUUAAACUCAGUGUCGCUGCACGCGUUACAAUGUUCGGUAUUUCUUUCGUAAAUCUUAAAUCGGGGAUUUCAUAAACUGUGUUAUUAUUCUGUUUAACAACGGCAAGCCAACUUGCACAUAUACUCUCACAUAAAUAUAGAUUUUAUAUAUUAUUA